rnacentral:rRNA from 1 species
UACGUAGGUGGCUAGCGUUGUCCGGAUUUACUGGGCGUAAAGAGCGCGCAGGCGGUCGUUCAAGUCGAGUGUGAAAGCCCCCGGCUCAACUGGGGAGGGUCACUCGAUACUGAUCGACUCGAAGGCAGGAGAGGGAAGCGGAAUUCCCGGUGUAGUGGUGAAAUGCGUAGAUAUCGGGAGGAACACCAGUGGCGAAGGCGGCUUUCUGGCCUGCUAUUGACGCUGAGGCGCGAAAGCUAGGGUAGCAAACGGG